ensembl:lncRNA
GUCUCUGUGUGUGUGUGUGUGUGUGUGUGUGUGUGUGUGUGUGUGUGUGUGUGUGUGUGUGUGUGUGUGUGUGUGUGUGUGUGUGUGUGUAUGUAAAGCAAGUUCACUACCGUAUGUUGAUAUGCUUCUGACAUAAAGAGGAGAGAAGAAGUGAGAGGCAGUGCUGAGGAAGAUGGAAGUGCAGAGCGAUGUUCAGCAUCUCGAGCCGCUCCCCCCCGCCGCCGCCGCCUCUCCCCCGCCGGGAGCCAAUCAGCGGAGUGAGUGUGAGGAGGGACACAGGGACACCGGGGCCUCCGCCGACAGCCACAGCGAGGACACUCCAGCCAGCCAGAGAGACGAGAUGAAACCCAGUGCAGGGGUCAGAGGGUACCACAGCCACAAGGCCUCAGACGCCCAGUGGGCCGCCAGUGAAGGAGGAGGAGGAGGAG